rnacentral:rRNA from 1 species
UAACCUGGUUGAUCCUGCCAGUGUAGUCAUAUGCUUGUCUCAAAGAUUAAGCCAUGCAUGUCUAAGUAUAAACAACUUUGUACUGUGAAACUGCGAAUGGCUCAUUAAAUCAGUUAUAGUUUAUUUGAUAGUACCUUACUACUUGGAUAACCGUAGUAAUUCUAGAGCUAAUACAUGCGAAAAGACCCGACUU